CCUUGACAUACUAAGAACUUUCCAGAGAUGGAUUGGUGCCUUCGGGAACUUAGAUACAGGUGCUGCAUGGCUGUCGUCAGCUCGUGUCGUGAGAUGUUGGGUUAAGUCCCGCAACGAGCGCAACCUUUCUAUUUGCCAGCGGGUCAUGCCGGGAACUUUAAGGAUGCUGCCAGUGACAAACUGGAGGAAGGCGGGGACGACGUCAAGUCAUCAUGGCCCUUACGGCCAGGGCUACACACGUGCUACAAUGGUCGGUACAAAGGGUUGCUACCUCGCGAGAGGAUGCUAAUCUCAAAAAGCCGAUCGUAGUCCGGAUCGCAGUCUGCAACUCGACUGCGUGAAGUCGGAAUCGCUAGUAAUCGCGGAUCAGAAUGCCGCGGUGAAUACGUUCCCGGGCCUUGUACACACCGCCCGUCACACCAUGGGAGUUUGUUGCACCAGAAGUAGGUAGUCUAACCGCAAGGAGGACGCUUACCACGGUGUGGCCGAUGACUGGGGUGAAGUCGUAACAAGGUAAGCGUAGAUGA
rnacentral:rRNA from 1 species